GGGCGUAAAGUGUCGCGUAGGCGGCUCUUCGCAUCUUGUCUUAAAGCUCCCGACUUAAUCGGGACCCGGGCAAGAGAUGGAAGAACUAGAGGGUUGGGGGAGUUUCCGGAACUGAUGGUGUAGCAGUGAAAUGCGUUGAUAUCAUCAGGAACACCGAGAGCGAAGGCAGGAAACUAACCAAAACCUGACGCUGAGGCACGACAGCUAGGGGAGCGAAGCAGAUUAGAGACCUGCGUAGUCCUAGCCGUAAACGCAUGAAUGCUAGUUGCCGGGAUCGCUUUGUGAAUAACGAAUCAAGAAUCAAGAAUUAAGAAUCAGGAAUGGAAAAUUAAAAUUUUUGUUCCCUUAAUUCAUGAUUCAUUAUUCCUGAUUCGAUAAUGUUCCCAAAGCGAUUUCGGUGACGUAAGGUAACCCGUUAAGCAUUCCGCCUGGGGAGUACGGCCGCAAGGUUAAAACUCAAAGGAAUUGGCGGGGACCCGCACAACCGGUGGAGCAUGUGGUUUAAUUCGAGACGAAGCGAAAGACCUCACCAUGGUUUGACAUCCUAUCGUUUUAAAUCUCUGGAAACAGGGAUCUAUCCGCAAGGAACUUAGGAAAGCUGCUGCAUGGCUGUCGUCAGCUCGUACCGUGAGGUGUUCCCUUAAGUGGGGUAACGAGCGCAACCCUCGUCGUUUGUUAAACAUUCAAACGAGACUGCCCCGACGUUUGUCGGGGAGGAAGGUGAGGACGACGUCAAGUCAGCACGGCGCUUAUGCCAUGGGCCACACACAUCCUACAAUGGCGAAAAACAACGAGCCGCAAGCCGGCGACGGCAAGCAAAUCUCUGAAAUUUCGUCUCAGUUGGAAUUGGAGUCUGCAACUCGACUCCAUGAACUCGGAAUCGGUAGUAAUCGCGGAUCAGCAGGCCGCGGUGAAUACGUUCUCGGGUCUUGCACACACCGCCCGUCAAGCCAACAAAGUCGAGGGCGGCCGAUGCGUGCGAAAG
rnacentral:rRNA from 1 species